GGGCCAUUAGCUCAAUGGUAAGAGCAGCCGGCUCAUAACCGGUUGGUUAUAGGUUCAAAUCCUAUAUGGCCCA
rnacentral:tRNA from 1 species